rnacentral:tRNA from 1 species
UGGAGUGUAGCUCAGUGGUAGAGCAUUUGCCUUCUAUGCAGGAGUUCUUGGGUUCAAACUCCAGCACCACAC